rnacentral:snoRNA from 1 species
UGCCUUUGUGUUGCCCAUUCAUUUCCAUCCAGAAUGAAUGUGGUGUCAAAAAAGGCAAACAGAAAUUCUUGCUCAGACAGCUUCUGAAGGAGCUGGUUAUUUAUCUUUCUCCUCCCUGUUUCUGCAAGGACAAAA